UUUGAAAUCUGGCGUACUCUACGUCCGAGUUGUAAUUUGAAGAAGGAUGCUUUGGGCCUGGCUCUUGUCUAUGUUCCUUGGAACAGGACGUCACAGAGGGUGAGAAUCCCGUGCGAUGAGAUGCCCAGGUCCAUGUAAAGCUCUUUCGAAGAGUCGAGUUGUUUGGGAAUGCAGCUCUAAGUGGGUGGUAAAUUCCAUCUAAAGCUAAAUAUUGGCGAGAGACCGAUAGCGAACAAGUACAGUGAUGGAAAGAUGAAAAGAACUUUGAAAAGAGAGUGAAAAAGUACGUGAAAUUGUUGAAAGGGAAGGGCUUGAGAUCAGACUUGGUAUUUUGUAUGGUGCUCCCUCGGGGGCGUCCUCUACAGCUUACUGGGCCAGCAUCGGUUCGGAUGGUAGGAUAAGUACGGAGGAACGUGGCACCACCUCGGUGGUGUGUUAUAGCCUCUUGGAGAUACUGCCUGUCUGGACCGAGGACUGCGUCUU
rnacentral:rRNA from 1 species